UACGAGGGGUGCGAGCGUUGUUCGGAAUUACUGGGCGUAAAGGGUGCGUAGGCGGUUUGAUAAGAUAGCGGUGAAAUGCCGGGGCUCAACCUCGGAAUUGCCGUUAUGACUAUUUAAGCUAGAGUGGUAGAGAGGAUAUUGGAAUACCCAGUGUAGAGGUGAAAUUCGUAGAUAUUGGGUAGAACACCAGUGGCGAAGGCGAGUAUCUGGCUAUCAACUGACGCUGAGGCACGAAAGCAUGGGGAUCAAA
rnacentral:rRNA from 1 species